CCGUGUGAAAUGGUCCCACCUCAGGUUGCCCUGGGUGGACCUCGACUGGCUCAUAGACAUCUCCUGCCAGAUCACGGAGCUGGACCUUUCCGCCAACUGCCUCCCUUCCCUCCCUUCUGUCAUCCCUUGGGGACUCAUCAACCUCCGGAAACUGAACCUGUCGGACAACCACCUGGGGGAACUGCCCGGCGUGCAGUCGUCAGACGAAAUCAUCUGUUCCAGGCUCCUGGAAAUUGACAUUUCCAGCAACAAGUUGUCCCAUCUCCCGCCUGGAUUCUUGCACCUGUCAAAGCUUCAAAAACUGACAGCUUCAAAAAAUUACUUAGAAAAAUUGUUUGAAGAAGAAAACGCCACUAACUGGAUUGGUUUGCGGAAGUUACAGGAACUCGAUAUUUCUGACAAUAAAUUGACAGAACUCCCCGCGAUUUUUCUUCAUUCUUUCAAGUCGCUCAAUUGUCUGAAUGUCUCCAGGAAUAACCUGAAAAUGUUUCCAGAUGCCUGGGCCUGC